rnacentral:rRNA from 1 species
GCAAGGAAUUUUGCGCAAUGGGCGAAAGCCUGACGCAGCGACGCCGCGUGAGGGAUGAAGGCCUUCGGGUUGUAAACCUCUUUUCCCGGGGAAGAAUUAUGACGGUACUCGGGGAAUAAGUCUUGGCUAACUACGUGCCAGCAGCCGCGGUAAUACGUAGGAGGCGAACGUUAUUCGGAUUUACUGGGCGUAAAGCGGGUGUAGACGGCUACUUAAGUUGGGUGUGAAAUCUCUUGACUUAAUUGAGAGGGGACAUUCAAUACUGGGUAGCUAGAGGACGGCAGAGGAAAGUGGAACUCCCGGUGUAGCGGUGAUAUGCGUAGAUAUCGGGAGGAACACCAGUGGCGAAGGCGGCUUUCUAGGCCGUUCCUGACGUUGAGGCCCAAAAGCGUGGGGAGCGAAACGGAUUAGAAACCCGGGUAGUCC